rnacentral:rRNA from 1 species
AUUGAACGCUGGCGGCAGGCCUAACACAUGCAAGUCGAGCGAGCGGCGGACGGGUGAGUAAUGUCUGGGAAACUGCCUGAUGGAGGGGGAUAACUACUGGAAACGGUAGCUAAUACCGCAUACCAUCAGAUGUGCCCAGAUGGGAUUAGCUAGUAGGUUGGGUAACGGCUCACCUAGGCGACGAUCCCUAGCUGGUCUGAGAGGAGUACCAGCCACACUGGAACUGAGACACGGGCCAGAAGUCUACGGGAGGAAGCAGUGGGGAAGAUUGGACAAUGGGCGCAAGCCUGAUGGAGCCAUGCCGGGGGUGUGAAGAAGGCCUUCGGGUUGUAAAGCACUUUCAGGGGGGAGGCGUUACCCGAAGAAGAAGCACCGGCUAAAUCCGUGCCAGCAGCCGCGGGAAUAC